AAGUCUAAUCCACCUUUAAGAAAUGAUGUUUUAUCUAAUGAAACAACUGACCAAGGGGGUCGUCGAUCAAGUAGAGAGAAAGGAUUUAAGCUUGAUGACAUUACACGUGCUCAAGCCCACAUAUAUGUUUUAUUUAAUUCUACCUCCACAACUUCAUAUCGUGAUGAACACAUAAAAGAAAUCAAGAAGGAAAAUCCUCGUCUAUCAAGACAUAAUGUGGAUUGAAUUCAUAAUGAAAGACUUCAACUAUAGUUUAGAAAUCAUGUCGAGAAGAUGCAAAUGGCUGGUGAAAAAAUAUCUGACGAUAUUCAAACUUUAGCUAUUGGCCCAUUAAUACAAGCUAAAAGAAUGA